GACGAACGCUGGCGGCGCGCCUAACACAUGCAAGUCGAACGAGCGAGAGAGAGCUUGCUUUCUCGAGCGAGUGGCGAACGGGUGAGUAACGCGUGAGGAACCUGCCUCAAAGAGGGGGACAACAGUUGGAAACGACUGCUAAUACCGCAUAAGCCCACAGCUCGGCAUCGAGCAGAGGGAAAAGGAGCAAUCCGCUUUGAGAUGGCCUCGCGUCCGAUUAGCUAGUUGGUGAGGUAACGGCCCACCAAGGCGACGAUCAGUAGCCGACCUGAGAGGGUGAUCGGCCACAUUGGAACUGAGAAACGGUCCAA
rnacentral:rRNA from 1 species